ACGACCUCAAAUCAGGCAGGACUACCCGCUGAACUUAAGCAUAUCAAUAAGCGGAGGAAAAGAAACCAACAGGGAUUGCCUC
rnacentral:rRNA from 1 species